rnacentral:rRNA from 1 species
UACGUAGGGUGCAAGCGUUAAUCGGAAUUACUGGGCGUAAAGCGUGCGCAGGCGGUCUUGCGAGACAGGUGUGAAAUCCCCGGGCUUAACCUGGGAACUGCACUUGUGACUGCAAGGCUGGAGUACGGCAGAGGGGGAUGGAAUUCCGCGUGUAGCAGUGAAAUGCGUAGAUAUGCGGAGGAACACCGAUGGCUAAGGCAAUCCCCUGGGCCUGUACUGACGCUCAUGCACGAAAGCGUGGGGAGCAAACAGG